rnacentral:rRNA from 1 species
AUUGAACGCUGGCGGCAGGCCUAACACAUGCAAGUCGAACGGUAACAGGAAGCAGCUUGCUGCUUCGCUGACGAGUGGCGGACGGGUGAGUAAUGUCUGGGAAGCUGCCUGAUGGAGGGGGAUAACUACUGGAAACGGUAGCUAAUACCGCAUAAUGUCGCAAGACCAAAGAGGGGGACCUUCGGGCCUCUUGCCAUCGGAUGUGCCCAGAUGGGAUUAGCUUGUUGGUGGGGUAACGGCUCACCAAGGCGACGAUCCCUAGCUGGUCUGAGAGGAUGACCGGCCACACUGGGACUGAGACACGGUCCAGACUCCUACGGGAGGCAGCAGUGGGGAAUAUUGCACAAUGGGCGCAAGCCUGAUGCAGCCAUGCCGCGUGUAUGAAGAAGGCCUUCGGGUUGUAAAGUACUUUCAGCGGGGAGGAAGGGAGUAAAGUUAAUACCUUUGCUCAUUGACGUUACCCGCAGAAGAAGCACCGGCUAACUCCGUG